CCAAACAGAUUUACAAGGAGCCGACGGGGUUUGCCCUCAACUCCACGCCCCUCGCUGCAAGAAAAGGGAGGCUGCGCUCCAGCGGAGAAAACCAAGGGGGAAGGGCGGGGCUUCAUGCUGCUCACCGCGGGGCUCACACCCCGAGCUCGCCGCUCCCGAGACUUUCGCCAGGAAGGGCUAGGCAAGAGCUUUGCUCAAGCCAGAGGGGACACCCUUCCCUUUUCCUCGCCCCGCCGCCAAUCCAAGGAGAGAAAAAAGUUCAACUCUGCAAACAAGUUGGAGGGGCGGAAGGGAGCGAGGGGGAAAGGUGCUUCUGAGGGGUGAAGACGGGGCCUCCCCCAAAAUGUUUCCUGCUCUGCCAGCUUCCAGUCCCUAUAUUAAAGUCCUUCCAUACAACAUGGAUUAAAUCUUGCCCCACAGAGAAAGGUGGCAAAUUCAAAAGGAAAAACUAGGAGUGCAUUCAAAUGUAUUUUCCUUUUGACGAUUCAGUCACUUGAUGUCAAGGCCUACCCAAGACAUUUUGCACCUGAGCUGUACCCCAGAAUGAUGGACCCCUCCCUCCCAGCCAAGGAAGAAGAGAUCUACACUUUAUUCUUGCUGAACUUCAUUGGGACAAUUUGUAUCGUAUGUUCUUUGGUGUUAUUUUUUAAACUGUAUAUACAGAUUUGAGUUUGACUAUUGUAAUUAAUAAAAGUUUGUCUAAUUGUU